rnacentral:rRNA from 1 species
AUACGUAGGUGACAAGCGUUAUCCGGAUUUACUGGGCGUAAAGGGCGUGUAGGCGGUCUUGCAAGUCAGAAGUGAAAUUCCUGGGCUCAACUCGGGCGCUGCUUCUGAAACUGCAGGACUUGAGUGCUGGAGGGGAUAGCGGAAUUCCUAGUGGAGCGGUAAAAUGCGCAGAUAUUAGGAAGAACACCGGUGGCGAAGGCGGCUAUCUGGACAGUAACUGACGCUGAGGCGCGAAAGCGUGGGGAGCAAACAGGAUUAGAUCCCCUGGUAGUCCACGCCGUAAACGAUGAAUACUAGGUGUAGGGGGUAUCGACUCCCUCUGUGCCGCAGUUAACACAAUAAGUAUUCCGCCUGGGGAGUACGGCCGCAAGGUUGAAACUCAAAUGAAUUGACGGGG